rnacentral:rRNA from 1 species
UACGUAGGGCGCAAGCGUUGUCCGGAAUUAUUGGGCGUAAAGAGCUCGUAGGCGGCCAGUUGCGUCUGCUGUGAAAUCCCGGGGCUCAACCCCGGGCGUGCAGUGGAUACGGGCUGGCUAGAGGCAGGCAGGGGAGAACGGAAUUCCCGGUGUAGCGGUGAAACGCGCAGAUAUCGGGAGGAACACCGGUGGCGAAGGCGGUUCUCUGGGCCUGUACUGACGCUGAGGAGCGAAAGCGUGGGGAGCGAACAGG